rnacentral:rRNA from 1 species
ACUCAAAUGAAUUGACGGGGACUCGCACAAGCAGUGGAUCAUGUGGCUUAAUUCGUCGGCAAGCGAAGAACCUUACCAGGGCUAGAAAUGCAGCUGCAUACUUUCCGAAAGGUUAGUAGCCUUCGAGGGUGCUGCACAGGUGAUGCAUGGUUGUCGUCAGUUCGUGGCUUGAGCUGUUCCCUUCAGUGGGGUAACGAACGCAACCCCCGUUGUCUGUUAUUUUUCAGGCGAGACUGCCCCCUCACGGGGGAGGAAGGUGGGGAUGACGCCAAAUCAGCAUGUCCCUCUGAUGCCCUGGGCCGCACACGUGAUACAAUGGUUGGUACAGAAGGAAGCAAGACCGCAAGGUGGAGCAAAUCCCAAAAACCAACCCCAGUACGGAUAGAGGUCUGCAACCGACCUCUUGAAGCCGGAAUUGCUAGUAAUCGUGGGUCAGCCAUACCACGGUGAAUACGUUCUCGAGUCUUGUACACACCGCCCGU